rnacentral:rRNA from 1 species
GAUGAACGCUGGCGGCGUGCCUAAUACAUGCAAGUCGAGCGAACAGACGAGGAGCUUGCUCCUCUGACGUUAGCGGCGGACGGGUGAGUAACACGUGGAUAACCUACCUAUAAGACUGGGAUAACUUCGGGAAACCGGAGCUAAUACCGGAUAAUAUAUUGAACCGCAUGGUUCAAUAGUGAAAGACGGUUUUGCUGUCACUUAUAGAUGGAUCCGCGCCGCAUUAGCUAGUUGGUAAGGUAACGGCUUACCAAGGCGACGAUGCGUAGCCGACCUGAGAGGGUGAUCGGCCACACUGGAACUGAGACACGGUCCAGACUCCUACGGGAGGCAGCAGUAGGGAAUCUUCCGCAAUGGGCGAAAGCCUGACGGAGCAACGCCGCGUGAGUGAUGAAGGUCUUCGGAUCGUAAAACGCUGUUAUUAGGGAAGAACAAAUGUGUAGUAACUAUGCACGUCUUGACGGUACCUAAUCAGAAAGCCACGGCUAACUACGUG